UACAGAGGUCUCGAGCGUUAGGCGGAAUCACUGGGCUUAAAGCGUGUGUAGGCGGCGGGCUAAGUACCUUGUGAAAUCCCACGGCUUAACUGUGGAACUGCUGGGUAUACUGGUUCGCUUGAGCGGUCUAGGGGCGAGCGGAACAAAUGGUGGAGCGGUGAAAUGCGUAGAUAUCAUUUGGAACGCCAAUGGUGAAAACAGGUAGCUGGGGGUGUGCUGACACUGAGACACGAAAGCCAGGGGAGCAAACGGG
rnacentral:rRNA from 1 species